GGGGAAUAUUGCGCAAUGGGGGAAACCCUGACGCAGCAACGCCGCGUGGAGGAUGAAGGUUUUCGGAUUGUAAACUCCUUUGAUCGGGGACGAAAAAAUGACGGUACCCGAAAAACAAGCCACGGCUAACUACGUGCCAGCAGCCGCGGUAAUACGUAGGUGGCGAGCGUUGUCCGGAAUUACUGGGUGUAAAGGGCGUGUAGGCGGGAUUUUAAGUCAGAUGUGAAAUUCUGGGGCUCAACCUCAGAGCUGCAUCUGAAACUGAAGUUCUUGAGUGCUGGAGAGGAUAGUGGAAUUCCUAGUGUAGCGGUGAAAUGCGUAGAUAUUAGGAGGAACACCAGUGGCGAAGGCGGCUAUCUGGACAGUAACUGACGCUGAGGCGCGAAAGCGUGGGGAGCAAAC
rnacentral:rRNA from 1 species